rnacentral:rRNA from 1 species
UACAGAGGGUGCAAGCGUUGUUCGGAAUUAUUGGGCGUAAAGCGCGUGUAGGCGGCUUUGCAAGUCGGGUGUGAAAGCCCUCAGCUCAACUGAGGAAGUGCGCCCGAAACUGCAGAGCUUGAGUACCGGAGAGGGUGGCGGAAUUCCCCAAGUAGAGGUGAAAUUCGUAGAUAUGGGGAGGAACACCGGUGGCGAAGGCGGCAUCCUGGACCGGUAUUGACGCUGAGGCGCGAAAGCUAGGGUAGCAAAACGG